GCCCGGAGGCGAAGCGAAAGCGAACCCGGGACUCCGUCUCCAGAGUGUUGGGGCGGAAGCACCGGGGGCCCGGCAAACACGGUCGUUCGGCGUCUCUUCGGUCGUGGCGAGGGAGGGUUYUUCGAGGACUCUCUCCGCCCGGCACGACCUGGCGCACCGGACUGGCCUGCCGGAGUCUGGAGCGCACGGGUCGGUACCCGAAAGAUGGUGAACUAUGCCUGACCCGGUCGAAGACGCGGGAAACGGUGCCGGAGGACCCUAGGGGUUCUGACGUGCAAAUCGAUCCCGCGAGUU
rnacentral:rRNA from 1 species